rnacentral:rRNA from 1 species
UACCAGCACCCCGAGUGGUCGGGACGAUUAUUGGGCCUAAAGCAUCCGUAGCCGGUUCUACAAGUCUUCCGUUAAAUCCACCUGCUUAACAGAUGGGCUGCGGAAGAUACUAUAGAGCUAGGAGGCGGGAGAGGCAAGCGGUACUCGAUGGGUAGGGGUAAAAUCCGUUGAUCCAUUGAAGACCACCAGUGGCGAAGGCGGCUUGCCAGAACGCGCUCGACGGUGAGGGAUGAAAGCUGAGGGAGCAAACCGG